rnacentral:rRNA from 1 species
AAGGAUUAGACUACCCUGGUAGUCCAUGCUAGUAAACGAUGUCUACUGGUUGUCGGUAUCCUUGAGGUAUCGGUAACGAAGCUAACGCAUUAAGUAGACCGCCGUGGGGAGUACGGCCGCAAAGGUUAAAACUCAAUGAAUUGACGGGGGCCCGCACAAGCGGUGGAGCAUGUGGUUUAAUUCGAAGCAACGCGAAGAACCUUACCUAGCCUUGACAUCGUGCGAAUCUUUUAGAGAUAGAAGAGUGCCUUCGGGAGCGCAUGGACAGGUGCUGCAUGGCU